rnacentral:rRNA from 1 species
CCCAGACUCCUACGGGAGGCAGCAGUGGGGGAUAUUGCACAAUGGGGGAAACCCUGAUGCAGCGACGCCGCGUGGGUGAGGAAGUAUUUCGGUAUGUAAAGCCCUCUCAGCAGGGAAGAAAGAAGACGGUACCUGACUAAGAAGCCCCGGCUAACUACGUGCCAGCAGCCGCGGUAAUACGUAGGGGGCGAGCGUUAUCCGGAUUCACUGGGUGUAAAGGGAGCGUAGACGGCCGUGCAAGCCAGGAGUGAAAGCCCGGGGCCCAACCCCGGGACUGCUCUUGGAACUGUGCGGCUGGAGUGCGGGAGGGGCAGGCGGAAUUCCUGGUGUAGCGGUGAAAUGCGUAGAUAUCAGGAGGAACACCGGCGGCGAAGGCGGCCUGCUGGACCGCGACUGACGUUGAGGCUCGAAAGCGUGGGGAGCGAACAGGAUUAGAUACCCCAGUA